rnacentral:piRNA from 1 species
UCCAAAUGUUUGCUGUCGAAAUUGCAC